rnacentral:rRNA from 1 species
GACGAACGCUCGCGGCGUGCCUAAUACAUGCAAGUAGAACGCACAGUUUAUACCGUAGCUUGCUACACCAUAGACUGUGAGUUGCGAACGGGUGAGUAACGCGUAGGUAACCUGCCUGGUAGCGGGGGAUAACUAUUGGAAACGAUAGCUAAUACCGCAUAAUAUUGAUUAUUGCAUGAUAAUUAAUUGAAAGUGGCAAUUGCACCACUACCAGUUGGCCCUGCGUUGUAUUAGCUAGUAGGUGAGGUAACGGCUCACCUAGGCGACGAUACAUAGCCGAACUGAGAGGGUGAGCGGCCACACUGAGACUGAGACACGGCCCAGACUCCUACGGGAGGCAGCAGUAGGGAAUCUGCGGCAAUGGACGAAAGUCUGACCGAGCAACGCCGAGGGAGUGAAGAAGGUUUUCGGAUCGUAAAGCUCUGUUGUAAGAGAAGAACGGGUGUGAGAGUGGAAAGUUCACACUGUGACGGUAACUUACCAGAAAGGGACGGCUAACUACGUG